GUGGCAGCCAAGCGUUCAUAGCGACGUUGCUUUUUGACCCUUCGAUGUCGGCUCUUCCUAUCAUUGCGAAGCAGAAUUCGCCAAGUGAUGGAUUGUUCGCCCACCAAUAGGGAACGUGAGCUGGGUUUAGACCGUCGUGAAACAGGUUAGUUUUACCCUACUGAUUCUUCGUUAUUGUAAUAGUAAUUCAACUUAGUACGAGAGGAACCGUUGGAUCAGAUAUUUGGUAAUGCAGUUAGUUGAGAAACUAGUGCUGCAAAGCUAUCAUCUGUAGGAUAAUGACUGAACGCCUCUAAGUCAGA
rnacentral:rRNA from 1 species